CAAUAGCGUAUAUUAAAGUUGUUGCAGUUAAAAAGCUCGUAGUUGGAUUUGUGGCGUACGGUGGGUUCCGGGCACUUGUUGUCUGAGUAACUUGCUGUUGCCAUCCUUGGGUGGAACCUGUGUGGCAUUAGGUUGUCGUGCAGGGGAUGCCCAUCAUUUACUGUGAAAAAAUUAGAGUGUUCAAAGCAGGCUUAUGCCGUUGAAUAUAUUAGCAUGGAAUAAUGAGAUAGGACUUUUUUGCUAUUUUGUUGGUUUGCGCAAAGAGGUAAUGAUUAAUAGGGACAGUUGGGGGUAUUCGUAUUCCGUUGUCAGAGGUGAAAUUCUUGGAUUUACGGAAGACGAACUACUGCGAAAGCAUUUACCAAGGAUGUUUUCAUUAA
rnacentral:rRNA from 1 species